rnacentral:rRNA from 1 species
GAUGAACGCUGGCGGCGUGCCUAACACAUGCAAGUCGAGCGAACAGACGAGGAGCUUGCGCCUUUGACGGUAGCGGCGGACGGGUGAGUAACACGUGGAUAACCUACUUAUAAGACGGGGAUAACUACGGGAAACCGGAGCUAAUACCGGAUAAUAUAUUGAACCGCAGGGUGCAAUAGAGAAAGACGGCUUUGGUGUCAGUAAUAGAUGGAUCCGCGCCGAAUUAGCGAGUUGGUAAGGUAACGGCCUACCAAGGCGACGAUGCGUAGCCGACCUGAGAGGGUGGUCGGCCACACUGGAACUGAGACACGGUCCAGACUCCUACGGGAGGCAGCAGUAGGGAAUCUUCCGCAAUGGGCGAAAGCCUGACGCAGCCACGCCGCGUGAGUGAUGAAGGUCUUCGGAUCGUAAAGCUCUGUUAUUGGGGAAGAACAGCUGUGUAAGUAACUCUGCCCGUCUUGACGGUACCUAAUCAAAAAGCAACGGCUAACUACGUG